rnacentral:rRNA from 1 species
AUUGAACGCUGGCGGCAGGCCUAACACAUGCAAGUCGAACGGUAACAGGAAGCAGCUUGCUGCUUCGCUGACGAGUGGCGGACGGGUGAGUAAUGUCUGGGAAACUGCCUGAUGGAGGGGGAUAACUACUGGAAACGGUAGCUAAUACCGCAUAACGUCGCAAGACCAAAGAGGGGGACCUUCGGGCCUCUUGCCAUCGGAUGUGCCCAGAUGGGAUUAGCUAGUAGGUGGGGUGACGGCUCACCUAGGCGACGAUCCCUAGCUGGUCUGAGAGGAUGACCAGCCACACUGGAACUGAGACACGGUCCAGACUCCUACGGGAGGCAGCAGUGGGGAAUAUUGCACAAUGGGCGCAAGCCUGAU